UAUUUGAAAGAGUUUUCUAGGCAUUAAAAGCUACAAUUGAGGUUUGGAGGUAUAAUUGUCGGCUGAUGAGAAAUGGUGACGACACCCAUUUAUACAAUUAAGUUUAUUGGAAAGUUGUCGAUUGUAGUUGGUUUUGACAUGAACAAUGGCAUAUUUUCUUUUGGUGUUGCUCUAGUUGAAAAAGAAACCAAGUACAACUAGACACUAGACAUGGUUUUAUAUUGCAUUCGACAAUA
rnacentral:lncRNA from 1 species